GAGGUCAGAUGGCAAUAGAGCUCACUUUCCAUGACCCCUGUGGCAGCAUAGCCUUGACAUCCACAUUGUCUCUUGUGGCUGCCUAGACCACAGGCAUAUGCUUGGCCUAUCAUGGUAACUCAGGCCAUAGGCAAUGACACAAACCCAAGCUGCAGCAGCACCACCGAAAUGGCCCUUGUCCGCAGCCAGGGCUAGGACCACACAUUGGACUCCGGUGGUUGCACAGGCUCCACCUAUCCACCUGUUCUUCACCGCCAUGGAGUCUCCAGCACUGCCCUUCUCCACAUGAAUGUAGGCACUUUGGGGAGAUAUCUCUGAUGAGGUACAUUGGAAAAAGAUGAUCUAAGGUGUGAGGCAGCUGAAGGCAAGAAGGCACGAAGACAAAACUGCAAACGUGCCACCAGAUGACUUUAAUUCAGCCACUAUCACGAUUACCCCAGGAAACUCAGUCAGAAAAACAAGACUAAGACCUUGAGACUUGGCAAGUGAAAUUCAGUGAAUUUAUCCCCUCAGGGAGGUCUGAUCCCAUCUGGGGUCUGAGGUGGCUCUCUGUGUUGUGUUACAAGGGCUGAGGCUAGACUUGCAAACAAGGAAGGGAGCCUGGGUCAGCUGGUAAUAAACUCGUCCAUGAUCUCCAUGCUGCACAUCUAUGAGCCUUGGUGAAUGGGGUUAGAAUGAAAUGCUCCACUGAUCCGGAGAAGCUGCAGAGGAACAUCAGGCAGCCCAACAGAUGGUCCAUUAUUUUCUCCCAAGGACAGAUGUUCUUCCUUCAGUAUUCCAGUAUUAAGAUGACUGAAGCCAAGGAGUGUGAAUGCGAUGAUAUUCUGAAGAUAUCCCAGGAGCACCUGGCAAAUGAGAGCGAGGAGCAUCUUAUUUGAGAGCAGGCCAGCUCAGAGCUGCAGAGCCUCUCAGGGAUUGGACUGUCUACGAGGCAGGAAAAAGAAAUUCUGCCAGAGACCAUUCUCAAGACCAGAGAGGCAGAACACACGAAAUGGGACUCCUGUACUUCUCUGCUAGAGAGGGGAGAAAAACAGAAGAUGUGGAUAAUUCUCUCCGACAAGCAAAGAGAUCACAACCUUAAGAGUAGCUGAAGUACAUGGCCCUGGCGGGGCUCAAGUCAAGUUGUGCAUGGGGCUACUGACAUCUGAAAACUCGACCAAGGCUGUGGGGCCCACUUCUGUAAUGGCUUACUUCCAUAAAUGUUGGCAUCAGGCCUGAUAGUCUUGGCAAGAGACCUUGUUCCCAGCCACGGGCCCCCUGCAACGAGCUGCUGGAGAGUCCUCAUGGCAGGACAUCAAGUUUCUACCAUGCAAGCUCCUUUGAGCUCGUCAGCUGAGGCAGUAAACGGUGAGAACCAGACCUGCUUUGCCUCAGAUUCCAAGAAUUACUAAAUAAACCAUCCUUCAGUCUACCACAGCAAGUCAACUGAAAA
rnacentral:lncRNA from 1 species